GGUUAAGGUGGUUUCCUCUCCAAGAGGCUAACCACUGCCUUUCUCAGGAACAUGGCAACCUGGAAGAAAAGCUGGCAUGCCUCAGGUCUUCGUGGAGCACGCUUAUUUCCUUUGCCCUCCUUUGGCUGCCUAUAUAU